ACAUCUGAAUAACACUAAAGAUUUAUCGCUAAGGGAUGGGGAUGCGUCCGAUUAGGUAGUCGGCGGGGUAACGGCCCACCGAGCCCUCGAUCGGUAGGGGUUCUGAGAGGAAGGUCCCCCACACUGGUACUGAGACACGGACCAGACUCCUACGGGAGGCAGCAGUGAGGAAUAUUGGUCAAUGGGCGUAAGCCUGAACCAGCCAAGUAGCGUGCAGGAUGACGGCCCUAUGGGUUGUAAACUGCUUUUAUACGGGGAUAAAGUGAGGGACGUGUCCCUUAUUGUAGGUACCGUAUGAAUAAGGACCGGCUAAUUCCGUGCCAGCAGCCGCGGUAAUACGGAAGGUCCGGGCGUUAUCCGGAUUUAUUGGGUUUAAAGGGAGCGCAGGCCGGAGGUCAAGCGUGACGUGAAAUGUAGCCGCUCAACGGCUGAGUUGCGUCGCGAACUGGCUUUCUUGAGUGAGUACGACGUCAGCGGAAUUCGUGGUGUAGCGGUGAAAUGCUUAGAUAUCACGAAGAACCCCGAUUGCGAAGGCAGCUGACGAGUCCUUUACUGACGCUAAAGCUCGAAGGUGCGGGUA
rnacentral:rRNA from 1 species